UACGGAGGAUGCAAGCGUUAUCCGGAAUGAUUGGGCGUAAAGCGUCCGCAGGUGGCUGUGUAAGUCUGCUGUUAAAGAGUGAGGCUCAACCUCAUAAAAGCGGUGGAAACUACACGGCUAGAGUGCGUUCGGGGCAGAGGGAAUUCCUGGUGUAGCGGUGAAAUGCGUAGAUAUCUGGAGGAAUACCGGUGGCGAAGGCGGCAUCCUGGACCGGCAUUGACGCUGAAGCGCGAAAGCUAGGGGAGCAAACGGG
rnacentral:rRNA from 1 species